rnacentral:misc_RNA from 1 species
AUGGGUGGUGUUUGCUCGUGUCGCGUUGGUCGAGGUAACCAGCUUAACGCAGGCUCAAUUCUCGAUCGCGUCAUCAGCCAGGCAAGCAACGAGGAUCAGUGCUUGUUGUAUCGGCUGGCCAAUUACAAAAAGGGCGGCGAGCUGAUCGAGGCGUACAAUCAAGGUGGCCAGCCAGAAGUGGAGAAAUUGGUGCGCGAGCAAUUCGGCAUUCUGAUGUACGCCGAUGGUAAGGGCCAGGUGAUCAAUCGCGCCGAGUAUCUGCGUUGGAAGUUUCGUGACCUCGAGCAGGUCGUGCUGCCGAUCGAGGCAUCGCUGUCGCGCUUCGAUCCACUCGCCCAAUGGAACGAUCACGAGGCCUGCUGGCAGAUGCAAUACAGAGGCUCGCUGGGCGAGGCUCUGCUUCAUGUCCUCAUCAUAUGCGACACGCGGAUACACACCAGAAUAGCGCGUAUAUUACUCAAGUGCUUCCCGCGACUCGCUAUCGACGUCGUCGAGGGCGAAGAGUAUCUCGGAGCGAGCGCCCUUCACCUGGCGAUCGCUUAUAACAACAACGAACUCGUGCAGGAUCUGGUCGAUGCGGGCGCGAUUAUCUCGCAGCGGGCCAUCGGUAGCUUUUUUCUACCGCGUGAUCAGCAGGGAAUGAAUCCCGUUAGAAACACCGAUUACGAAGGACUCGCGUAUUUAGGCGAGUACCCGCUCGCCUGGGCCGCUUGCUGCGCUAAUGAAAGCGUCUACAAUCUGCUGCUUGAUUCCGGUGCGGAUCCUGACGAGCAGGAUUCUUUCGGAAAUAUGAUUUUGCAUAUGGUCGUAGUUGGCGAUAAAUUGGAUAUGUUCGGCUAUGCUCUGCGACAUCCGAAGCUUCCCGCUCGCAACGGAAUCGCGAAUGCUGCGGGUCUGACCCCGUUGACACUCGCCUGCCAACUUGGGCGUGCCGAGGUCUUCCGUGAGAUGCUGGAACUGUCCGCGCGGGAGUUCUGGCGUUACAGUAAUAUCACCUGCUCGGCGUAUCCCCUCAAUGCCCUCGACACGCUACUACCAGACGGCAGAACAAACUGGAACUCUGCGCUAUUUAUCAUUCUGAACGGUACGAAGGAGGAGCACUUGGACAUGCUGGACGGUGGUAUUAUUCAGCGAUUACUUGAGGAAAAAUGGAAGACCUUCGCGCGAUUGCAGUUCCUGAAGCGAUUGAUUAUCUUGGUGUUUCACCUGGCCUCGCUGUCCUUAGCGGUAUACUUCAGACCCGCGGAUACGGAUGCCGUGCUGCUGCAGUGGCCCGAGGAGAUAACGGACGUCAUCCGUACCGCGGCGGAGUGCAUCACCGUGCUGGGCGUGCUCAAUUACAUCCUGGUACAACUGGGUGGCGAGAUGAUCAACGUCGGACCGCUGUCGUUUCUGAAGCAACUGAGCCACGAGCCAGCCAAGUUGAUAUUCGUGAUCAGCAAUCUACUCAUUCUCGCGUGCAUUCCAUGUCGUAUCGCCGGAAAUCGGCACGCGGAGGAUGCGAUAUUGGUGUUCGCCGUCCCGGGCUCCUGGUUUCUUCUCAUGUUUUUCGCCGGAGCAAUUCGAUUGACCGGUCCAUUCGUCACGAUGGUAUACAGCAUGAUAACCGGUGAUAUGCUGACUUUCGGUAUAAUCUAUACAAUCAUGCUCUUCGGAUUUUCGCAGUCGUUUUAUUUUCUCUACAAGGGAUUCCCAGGCGUGAAAUCAUCUCUUUAUCAUUCUUAUGUUUCGACCUGGAUGGCAUUGUUUCAGAUAACCCUCGGCGAUUAUAACUAUGCGGAAUUGAAUAACACGAUCUAUCCCAACUUGAGCAAAACCGUCUUCGCGAUUUUUAUGGUGCUUGUGCCCAUUCUGCUACUUAACAUGUUGAUUGCCAUGAUGGGUAAUACGUACGCACAUGUUAUCGAGCAAAGCGAGAAAGAAUUCGUUAAGCAGUGGGCAAAAAUAGUGGUGUCUCUGGAACGUGCCGUAUCGCAAAAAGACGCUCAUAAUUAUCUGCAAGAAUACAGCAUCAAGCUAGGACCCGGCGACGAUCCAAACAAUCCUGCUUCGGAGCAAAGAGGCGUGCUCGUUAUUAAAAGUAAAUCGAAAACCAAAGCGAAGCAGCGUAAGGGCGCCGUAGCUAAUUGGAAGCGAGUCGGAAAAGUUACGAUAAACGAACUGAGAAAACGAGGGAUGACUGGGGAGGAGCUUCGACAUAUAAUGUGGGGUCGUGAGUCCUUCUCUACUCCUGUACGAGUCAGUCCCAAUGCUGGCCAACCGCAAGUGUCGGCAGUUACUGCAGGUUUUGGUGAUGCACUAACCGCAGCUUUGGACGUAAUGGCCUUUGCACAUGACUUUGACUUAUCCGCGGCGACAGAAGGCAUACCCACCAAUAUCGAUGCGAAACAAACAAAAACGACACAAUCGAAAGCCAUUCCCAACGAUCAGAUGAAAACGACCCAGAAUAAUCCAGAAACAGUGACGAAUGUCCAACCACAUAAACAGCCUAUUGGGGAGCCAACUAAAUUGUUAGGUCUUACGGAUUUAAUCGAUAAUUCCAUUGGUCCCGUGAAGGAUGUGGAAGCGAUGAAUUUAAAAAAUACGAACCAAACAAAAGCGCUCGAAGCAUCUAUGGAGUUCGAAGAUCCAUUUUUGGAACUAGCCAUCGCUUCUGAGACUACGACAAAUUACGAAAUCUUACUACAAAUAGCGAAGUCUGCUCUAGCUGCCAGUGAAGCUUCGGUGAAAACUGCAAUUGAUCCACAAAUUCUCGCACAUUUUGCUAUGAUUCCUCCGCCGAUCACUGAGAAAUUCAUCGUUAAGAAGCAAUACUUUAUGGAAUCUAGUGAUAACGAUGUCGGUGGGGAUAAUUUAUUAGGCACUGAAGCUCGUCUUCGAAGGAUAAAAUCUGCGAAUAACAGGUUCAUAACUACAUCAAAACGGCCACAUCGUGAUGAUGAUGGCGACAGUUCUUCGUCCACUAUAUCAAUUGAACGAAAUCAACGAUAUCGACCAUUAUUCAACGAUCCGGAAGAAAGAUCGAUAAAUCAUGUCGAAACUGAAGGUCAAAAAACUCCCAUGGAAACAAUUAAAUCGGAAAUCCAGCAGAAUGGUAGCAUUCCACUCAAGCCACCCGAUAAAAUUCAAAAGCGUCGACCGAAAACAGCCAAGAACAGAGUAUCACCUAAGGAAAUAGAGGAGCCGAGGAGAAGGGAAUCGAUUGAGCAGAAUAAGGCGGCCUCACCACCGACGUCGUCCUCGGAUCCGCUCGAGCCAUGGAGCACGCGUGGCAUUACCGACAUGAACACAAUAUUGGCUUGGAGGGAUAACGCACCGGAUAGUCCUUAAUAUGACUUUAUGAUAUUUUGCGCUGCACUGAUUACGACGCCGAUGUGACCGGCAUCGGAUCGUACACAUGGAUGAUCGUGCGUAAGGAAGCUUCAAGCUCGAACUUAUUUCAAAAAUUGCUCCGAUUGCAAGAGUGAGGAUUGCAUCGAUAUGGAGUAUAACGAUCUCGACGGGGAGGAUAUCGAAACCGUGCUCGACAGUCA